rnacentral:rRNA from 1 species
UACGAAGGGGGCUAGCGUUGCUCGGAAUCACUGGGCGUAAAGGGUGCGUAGGCGGGUUUUUAAGUCAGAGGUGAAAUCCUGGAGCUCAACUCCAGAACUGCCUUUGAUACUGAAAGUCUUGAGUAUGGGAGAGGUGAGUGGAACUGCGAGUGUAGAGGUGAAAUUCGUAGAUAUUCGCAAGAACACCAGUGGCGAAGGCGGCUCACUGGCCCCGAUACUGACGCUGAGGCACGAAAGCGUGGGGAGCAAACAGGG